rnacentral:rRNA from 1 species
CUCACAUUACGAAAGCUGGCCCCCUCGGGGUCCGCAUUGUAAUUUGCAGAGGAUGCUUCGGGAACGGCCCCCAUCUAAGUGCCCUGGAACGGGCCGUCAUAUAGGGUGAGAAUCCCGUCUGGGAUGGGGUGGCCGCGCCCGUGUGAAGCUCCUUCGACGAGUCGAGUUGUUUGGGAAUGCAGCUCUAAUUGGGUGGUAAAUUUCAUCUAAAGCUAAAUAUUGGCCGGAGACCGAUAGCGCACAAGUAGAGUGAUCGAAAGAUGAAAAGCACUUUGAAAAGAAAGUUAAACAGCACGUGAAAUUGUUGAAAGGGAAGCGCUUGCCACCAGACUCGCCCGCGGGGUUCAGUCGGGACUAGUGCCGGCGUACUUACCCGCGUGCGAACCACCGGCCACAAG